rnacentral:miRNA from 1 species
GUGGACAGCUGUUUCACCCUUUUGGGGCUCAUCAUGCAGCUCAUCCAUUAGCUACACUGUGCUGAUGAGCCCCAAAAGGGUGAAACAGCUGUCCACA